UGAGGAAUAUUGGGCAAUGCCCGAAAGGGUGACCCAGCAACGCCGCGUGGAGGAUGAAGGUCGUAAGAUUGUAAACUCCUGUUAGAGGGGAAGAAUAACUAAGUUUGGAGCUUAGUAUGACUGUACCCUCAGAGAAAGCCCCGGCUAACUACGUGCCAGCAGCCGCGGUAAUACGUAGGGUGCAAGCGUUAAUCGGAAUUACUGGGCGUAAAGCGUGCGCAGGCGGUUUUGUAAGACAGAGGUGAAAUCCCCGGGCUCAACCUGGGAACUGCCUUUGUGACUGCAAAGCUGGAGUGCGGCAGAGGGGGAUGGAAUUCCACGUGUAGCAGUGAAAUGCGUAGAUAUGCGGAGGAACACCGAUGGCGAAGGCAAUCCCCUGGGCCUGCACUGACGCUCAUGCACGAAAGCGUGGGGAGCAAACA
rnacentral:rRNA from 1 species